rnacentral:rRNA from 1 species
AGUAGGGAAUCUUCCGCAAUGGACGAAAGUCUGACGGAGCAACGCCGCGUGAGCGAAGAAGGUCUUCGGAUUGUAAAGCUCUGUUGUUAGGGAAGAACAAGUACCGUUCGAAGAGGGCGGUACCGUGACGGUACCUAACGAGAAAGCCACGGCUAACUACGUGCCAGCAGCCGCAGUAAUACGUAGGUGGCAAGCGUUGUCCGGAAUUAUUGGGCGUAAAGCGCGCGCAGGCGGUUCCUUAAGUCUGAUGUGAAAGCCCACGGCUCAACCGUGGAGGGUCAUUGGAAACUGGGGGACUUGAGUGCAGAAGAGGAGAGCGGAAUUCCACGUGUAGCGGUGAAAUGCGUAGAGAUGUGGAGGAACACCAGUGGCGAAGGCGGCUCUCUGGUCUGUAACUGACGCUGAGGCGCGAAAGCGUGGGGAGCAAA